rnacentral:rRNA from 1 species
GUACCCUACGGGAGGCAGCAGUAGGGAAUCUUCGGCAAUGGGCGAAAGCCUGACCGAGCAACGCCGCGUGAAUGAAGAAGGCCUUCGGGUUGUAAAAUUCUGUUAUAAGGGAAGAAAGGUGAUAGGAGGAAAUGACUAUCAAUUGACGGUACCUUAUGAGAAAGCCACGGCUAACUACGUGCCAGCAGCCGCGGUAAUACGUAGGUGGCAAGCGUUAUCCGGAAUUAUUGGGCGUAAAGAGUGCGCAGGUGGUUAAUUAAGUCUGAUGUGAAAGACCACGGUUUAAAUGUGGAGGGUGAUUGGAA